rnacentral:rRNA from 1 species
CCUACGGGUGGCUGCAGUGGGGAAUAUUGGACAAUGGGCGAAAGCCUGAUCCAGCCAUGCCGCGUGUGUGAAGAAGGCCUUCGGGUUGUAAAGCACUUUCAGUGGGGAAGAAAGCCUUGGGGCUAAUACCCUCGAGGAAGGACAUCACCCACAGAAGAAGCACCGGCUAACUCCGUGCCAGCAGCCGCGGUAAUACGGAGGGUGCGAGCGUUAAUCGGAAUUACUGGGCGUAAAGCGCGCGUAGGCGGUCUGAUAAGCCGGUUGUGAAAGCCCCGGGCUCAACCUGGGAACGGCAUCCGGAACUGUCAGGCUAGAGUGCAGGAGAGGAAGGUAGAAUUCCCGGUGUAGCGGGGAAAUGCGUAGAGAUCGGGAGGAAUACCAGUGGCGAAGGCGGCCUUCUGGACUGACACUGACGCUGAGGUGCGAAAGCGUGGGUAGCAAACAGGAUUAGAUACCCGUGUAGUC